CAGUCGCCGCGGUAAUACGAAGGGUGCAAGCGUUAAUCGGAAUUACUGGGCGUAAAGCGUACGUAGGCGGUGAGUUAAGUCUGCUGUGAAAUCCCCGGGCUCAACCUGGGAAUGGCAGUGGAUACUGGCUCGCUAGAGUGUGUCAGAGGAUGGUGGAAUUCCCGGUGUAGCGGUGAAAUGCGUAGAGAUCGGGAGGAACAUCAGUGGCGAAGGCGGCCAUCUGGGACAACACUGACGCUGAGGCACGAAAGCGUGGGGAGCAAACAGGAUUAGAUACCCCCGUAGUCCCUGUCUCUUAUAC
rnacentral:rRNA from 1 species